GUGAAUCAUCAAAUUUUUGAACGCAAAUUGCGCCUUCUGUCAGGAGGCGUGGCUGUUUCAUGGCACCAUUUAACAAAUCCUCUCCGGGUCGCUGUGCGUCGUGCACACGUUGAUGAGCUGUUCCGAAAAACCAGGUUUUUUUGUUGGCGCAUAAUGAACGGAGGGGGCUUUUUCUUUUGGUUCUC
rnacentral:misc_RNA from 1 species